UUGAGGUCGACAAAUGUGAUUUUCGAUCGAAUUCGUAUAUUACGUGGGGAUUCUAUGUGAUAAACAAAGGUCACUUAUUUUUCAAACUUAAUGAUACUAAGUGGUAAACAAACAAGACACAAGACUUAAUUAUUUUUUAUUAUUAAUAUUAUCUAAUUGAUGCAUUAAAGAAAAUAAUAAAUCAGACAAGGAAGAAGGAAGAAGAGACACAAUUUAUAUAGCAAAAAUUUAUCAAAUAAGCAAACCUAAACUACCCCAAACAAUUAAAACAAUCAAAGUAAAUAAACAAAUUCAA
rnacentral:lncRNA from 1 species